rnacentral:misc_RNA from 1 species
UGGCUCUCGCAUCGAUGAAGAACGCAGCGAAAUGCGAUAAGUAAUGUGAAUUGCAGAAUUCAGUGAAUCAUCGAAUCUUUGAACGCACCUUGCGCUCCUUGGUAUUCCGAGGAGCAUGCCUGUUUGAGUGUCUUGAAGUCAUCAACCCAAGCCGUUUUACUGCGGCCGACGGUUGGACGUGGGGCGUGCUGCCGCUCGGCUGCUCCCCUCAAAUGUGUCGGUUGGGACUGUGGGUCAAACUCGAAAGGGCGUUGUACCAUCCUCGCUCCCUAGAGAUGCCUCCCCUCUUGUGCCCCUCCACGAUCUGCCUCUGAAGGGUGGCGAUCAAAACCUUUUGAAAUCUGACCUCAAAUCAGGUAGGACUACCCGCUGA